rnacentral:lncRNA from 1 species
AUCAUAUAUCUGUCUCUCUAUUUUUCUUUAAAUACUUCUCAUAAAUACCGACCGUCCCUAGAGCAAGUAGCAAAGGGCUUGGUGGUUGGUAUCCGAGACCCAAGUUCAAAUCCUAAUUGAUUCACAUUUCCAGCUAAGUUUAUUUCUAAAUGAAAUAAAUGAAGCGGGUAGCGUGCUACCUAUCUUUCGGAACCGACCCUCCCUAGAGCAAGUGGCAAAAGGCUUGGUGAUUGAUACCCGAGACCCAAGUUCGAAUCCGAGUUAAUUCACAUUUCUAGCUAAAUUUAUUUCUAAAUGAAAUAAACGAAGCGGGCAGCGUGCUACCUAUCUCUCUCAAAAAAAAA